AUCUGAAGAAUAAUUUUCUUUAUUUUUAUAUAAACACAUUUUUUAACCUUAUUUCUCAGACCAUGAUUUGCAGCCAUGGCUAAAAAGAAGUUCAUCAUCUAUCAUUUCUAUGGUUAGCAGGAUCAUAAUUUAAAAAAAAACGUAUAGUUCUUUUCAGGUCUAAAACUUAAAUAACCCUAAGGACAUAUUAACACAUGACAUAAUACAAUGUUAUUUAACAAAAAAGACGCCAGAAUGCAGAGGCACUUUGGAAUUUUGGCCCACUCUUCUUUACACGCCACAGGAUUUCAGUCAGGUUGAGGUCUGGGAUUUCUGUUGUAGAUUCACUUACUGUUGCAUGACCCAGUUUUGGCCAAGCUUUAGCUGUCGGAUAGGUGACCUCACAUAAUUGACUCUAGAGUACUUUGGUAUACAAACAAAACAAGCCCAAGUCAUCACUCCUCUUCCACCGUGCUUUUUAACAGUUUAAGGUAUGAGACGUUUGAGUUAAUCUUAUCGUAUUUGCUUUUUGCCAAAUGUGGUCCAUUUUAGUCUCAUCUGUUCAAAGGGCAUCGUUCAAGAAGUCUUGUGGGUUGCACACAUGCAACUUCGCAAACCUAAGCUGUCCGCCAUGGUCUUUUAAAAGCAGAGGGCUUCCUCUGGCAAGCCUUCUAAACAAACUUUAUGUGCGGCAUAAAGUCUCCUUGGCAUUGAACCAGCUCAUACCUGAGUGCUCCAGACCAGAAAACUGUCAAAGCAUCUGCUUUUAUAGAGGAGCUUAGGAAUAAAAAGCAAGGACUUAGUUUUUCCACUCACUUCUUCUACAUUAAGGCUUACGUUUUGUUAAAUAAAUAAUGAUAUGGUGUAUCAUGUCAUCUGUUGUUGUUCAUCUCCAGAUGUGCUUACCUCAUCUUAAGACCUGCGAUGGACAGAUUUAAUAUAUUAUGUCCUAAUGUGCAAAACCUUAGUACAACACAGGGGUUGUACAGUCAUUUUACAAUGACUGUGUAUACACUCUGUGUUUAAAACACAGUUUUAAUUAAAACCUAAAGUGAGGUUAAUGAUUGGAUUUGCAUUAAAUAGAUUACUGGCAAAAGACUACAAGAUCUACUAAAUAUGGGCUAACGCGACAUCCCUAACCACUUCAUAGGGCCAGGAUACCCAGUUCCCUAAUCUGACAGAACAAACAAAGAGAAAACUUAGUUAAUGAUCGGUAACUGACUUCACUAACUUCGAGUUUCUUCACUCGCAGCCAUUAGAAAACAAAGUAUGAUGACCUAGUUCACACCAUUCUCACACAAUAGCUUUCAUGCAGCCAACAGCCACAGACUUCACUGAAGGCUAAUUGCUUCUAAAUUUGCAUGCUGAUAUGCCAGUUAAAUUACUUCUGGCAGAGAAGUCUUUGGCAGUCUCGUGUUUUAACAAGGUCUCUCUUUUUACCACAGAAACAAGUUGACAGGGUGGUUAGAGCAGAGUGAUGUCUGGUGAAUAUGUGGCGGAUCACAAACCUGUCCUUUUUUUGGCGAGCCUUAGCUUUACUAGCUUAACGAGCCAAAGGCUAAAAACUAAAGUGAAAAAACAUUUGAGACUGGAGUAGGACAUGUAGAACUACUGUGCCUCAGAGGAGGGAUAGCUUUAUUUAUUUAUUUGUUCACUUGUAGGUUAACUUCUCUAUACAGGAUAAUUUAUGUUGUUGUUAACUUAAACAGCUUCUAUGCCGAUGAGCUGCAUCUCCGAUUAGCCAUCUUACUUGUGGAGAAUUUGCUCAGAUGCAGUGGUCAAACUUCAUGAAAGGAAGUAUAGAGACUUGCACUUCUGGUUUGAUUCCAGGAUACGAGGGUGCGUGCCAAAUUCUUGGUUUCCAUGUUACCGCUUUUCACCUCACGUUAAUAACCCCAGUGUCUGAAUUUGAAUGGUGUUCAUGAGAACCUCUGCUUCCUCUGAAUAGCCUGUAUUUUUCCCCUCAUUGAUGCUAUGGCGUCAUGUUCCAGAGAACAGAUAUCACACAGAUAAAAAUUAAGCUUCCAGUUUAUCAGACCUUGAGUGUAAAAUAUGCAUAAACCAUCACAGAAUCUCAGGUCGCAUAUUUUACUUAUGCAGAUAACUUUGAGUCUUUAUGAAUGACUGUACUGUUGGUCACUGGGUGAUGUUUCCUGGUGUGUCAUUUGGAUUGUGGUAGUUGUUCUUUUUCCUGCAGGGCUCUAGUUAACAAGCAAAGCAAGCAGCAGUCAGUGAGCUCUCUUUUAAAGUAUCUACUGUAUGCAUUCACCAAAUGUAUUGCCGUGCAGAAUCCUUUAUUCUGAAACACAAUCAAAUGUAACAACUGAAAAAUAAUAUGUAAAAUAAUAAUAUUACACUGUGGUAGCCUGACAGGAGCUUUUUGGGUAUAUCUGAUGGUAGCUUUCUAACUUCUUAUCUUUAAACAAUAAGAAUAACUUGAUACCUGAACUUACCUUUGGGUUAUUUAGCUCUAGAUACUGUUACAAAUAUUAACAAUGGUGCAGAACUUUAGCUAACAAUGUGUUGCCUCAUCUCUGUCUUUUAAAUUGCUGCACAUAUUCUGUUGUUUUAAAUAAUGCAGUUGCUCUCAGAUUUGAGGUCCUUUGUGUGAAAAGUGAAAGGAAAAUUAGAAUUUUGUAAACAAACUAGAAUACAUUUUCAUGAUUUUGUCACUUGUGAAGACUGCCUGGGUCUGGGACACAUAGUGUGUUGAAUAUCUUACCGCAUAGACAAUGUUUUGUGGCUUUAAUCAUUAUUAUCCGGUUACUGAUGUGGUUUCCAUGGGAUUCGACUGAGAUCUUCAGAUAAUAGUGACUCAUACAGGUGAAGGAAUAUAAACCGAGGAUAAUUUUCUCUCCUGUGGGGAAAAGAGGUUAAACCACGUGAGACAAGUAAUACCCUCUGCUGAGGCAGGAAUAUAUGUGCAUCUACAAGUCAUAAAAUAUUCAGUAAUUGCAAAUUAAAUUUUCACCACACCUUGUGGAAAAAGCCACUUUCAUAUAAAUCCAGUUGAAAAACAAAACCUCACACACCCUCAGAGUUCUUUGUCCUCAAGACAUUGAGAGAUUAGCACGAGGCAGGCCUUAUCCCUUGUGUAUUUUUCUAUUUCUAAUAUCCAGAGUAACGCAUAUUGUAUUAACAGGUGUGUCUCAUUUCCUAAGGGCUGCAAUUCAAGUAAAUAAUACUUUCAUAUAAAUCCAAUUGGACACAAAACCUCAGUGGUGUUUUAAGUGGUACAGAUUUAGGCUGAAUUGAACUGGUGUUGGACUCUAACGCUGCAUGUAACUUCUGUAAUUGUUGUAAAAGCAAGGGAGAGCAGCAGCUCGACCUCUGUUAUCUCUUUCUGCAAUAUACUUAUGUCAUCACCGCACCGCUCGCUCGCCUGCAAAGACAUGGCACAUUACAUUUUCAUUCAUCUUGUCAUCGAAGUGUUUCUGCAAAGCAUAUUUACAUCUCGGUAUUUGCGAAAGAGACGUGAUAUUUUCUGACAUUUGACAGGAGCUUAAACGCCCCCAUCUGUACCCAGUGUAUGGAUUUUCAUUUUGACUGAAUUCAGUUCUGCGACAUUGUAUGUUUAGAGGUUGUUAGUAAAUCCUUAUUUAAAAGUCUUGAAAGUAAAUCUGUGUGUUUAAGGUUGUAAUCUGCGCCCCUGUUUGUAUUGCCCAUAAAGUAAUCCUUGUUCUGACAGUUUCUCAAGUUCAACCAAAGAUAAGGCUUCGGUGGGCUAACAACAUACGAGUUUUCUUGUGAAAUUUCCACUUUAUCGUUCAGUAUCUUUUUGUUAGAGGAGUAAAGAACACAAAGAGGACACUGCAACAUAAGAUUAGAGAAAGAAGCGCACGAUCCCUCCAGCCCUUUAGCUUGGCCCUACCUUAAGGACUCUAAUCUCCAUUACUUUAGCAGGGAUUUCUUCAGGGCAAGCAUGGACUGGACGAAAUAAUUGUAGGGACUGAUUCCUCUUAACAUAUAUGAAUAGUGUUCAGAGGCAGGCGUUUAACAAAGGUGAACGUGAUCUUUUUUGCACUGUUUGGAAGUGUGAAAAUGUCUCUUUCUGUAACUAUUGCUUGAUGAAUGUCUCUCAUCAUUAGUGAACAUUGUGUUACCUCAGCAACUGAUCCAUCCGCUGUUUUUUUUGUUUUUGUUUUUUUAAUGUUUCUUAUUAGGCCUGGGAGCAGGUUUAUGUGUUUCUAUAGAACGGCAAUGUACAGGAUGUUUUGGAAUAAUGGGAAAGUCCCUGUGCUGCAUACUUACUGAACCGUCUGCAAUAUGUAGAAUUCAUAUGCAUACACGAAAAGACAGUGGUGCUGAUUUUUAUUUUGUGAUUUUGUAUGUGAUAAAUCCAUUGCCGUGCCUAAGUAUCUGUUAUUGGUUUAAUUGGUUAUGCUCGCCAUGAUUUAACGUCUCACAAGUGUCGUCUCGUUAGGAGAAAACAGUGAAAUAGUGAGUUAUGUCUAAAUGCUACACUGCCGAGAGAAUUCACAAUUCAUGUACAUAAUCUGUUUGGUUUUUUUUUGUAUUUAAAACUGGUCUGACGCAUGCAAGACUACAAAAUCACUGAAGCUAAACCUGUGUACAUAUCAUCUGUGUAAAUUCCAAGGUUUUCUUAUAGCGAACAUGCCGAAUCUAAAAAUAAAGUGAAAUUCUUUAGA